GCCAGGCAUAGUGGCACAUGCCUGUAGUCCCAGGUACUCAGGAGGCUGAGGCAGGAGGAUCACUUGAGCCCAGGACCUCUGGGCUGUGGGGUGCUCUGCUGAUUGGAUGUCCACUAAGUUUGGCAUCAAUAUGGUGACCUCUUGGGAGCAGGGGACUACCAGGUUGCCUAAGGAUGGACGACCUGGUCCAGGUUGCAAAAGCAAGUCAAAACUCCCCAUGCUUAUCAGUAGUCGGAUCAUGCCUAUAAAUAGCCACUUCACUUCACCCUGGGCAACAUAGUGAGACCCUGUCUCU
rnacentral:SRP_RNA from 1 species